UAUACGAGAUUAUAAAGCUUUUAAGGUUCCUACAGCUUUGGAUCCCAAAACUAUACUCAAAGACCAACUAGUUGUUGCUUUCUUUGAUGCUAUAAUCCUGUUCUGUGGGGAGUCCCUAAAGGAAGCUAUGCAACUAACCCCAAUGGUCCAUGCCGUAUAAUGGAGUUCCGGAAGAUGGUGCAGGCACUUAAUUGUUUAGGUCUUCGGGUUGUCUUAGAUG